rnacentral:rRNA from 1 species
GACAGAGGUGCCGAGCGUUAGGCGGAAUCACUGGGCUUAAAGCGUGUGUAGGCGGAGUGCUAAGUACCUUGUGAAAUCCCACGGCUUAACCGUGGAACUGCUUGGUAUACUGGUUCUCUUGGGUCAUCUAGGGGCGAGCGGAACAAACGGUGGAGCGGUGAAAUGCGUAGAUGUCGUUUGGAACGCCAAUGGUGAAAACAGCUCGCUGGGGAUGCACCGACGCUGAGACACGAAAGCCAGGGGAGCGAACGGG